rnacentral:rRNA from 1 species
UACGUAGGGGGCAAGCGUUGUCCGGAAUUAUUGGGCGUAAAGCGCGUGUAGGCGGUCCGGUAAGUCGGUUGUGAAAGUCCAGGGCUCAACCCUGGGAUGCCGAUCGAUACUGCCGGACUAGAGUCCGGAAGAGGCGAGUGGAAUUCCCGGUGUAGCGGUGAAAUGCGCAGAUAUCGGGAGGAACACCAAUGGCGAAGGCAGCUCGCUGGGACGGUACUGACGCUGAUGCGCGAAAGCGUGGGUAGCAAACAGG